UACGGAGGGUGCAAGCGUUAUCCGGAUUCACUGGGUUUAAAGGGUGCGUAGGUGGGCAGGUAAGUCCGUGGUGAAAUCCUAUAGCUUAACUAUAGAACUGCCAUGGAUACUAUUUGUCUUGAAUGUCGUAGAGGUAAGCGGAAUAUGUCAUGUAGCGGUGAAAUGCUUAGAUAUGACAUAGAACACCAAUUGCGAAGGCAGCUUACUAUGCGAUGAUUGACAAUGAGGCACGAAAGCGUGGGUAGCAAACAGG
rnacentral:rRNA from 1 species